CAAUAGCGUAUAUUAAAGUUGUUGCAGUUAAAAAGCUCGUAGUUGGAUUUCUGGUUGAAGCGACCGGUCGGGCGUUGAUUCGUCUGCACUGGAGUCGGUUUUGGCCAUCCUCUAGGAAAGUGCGUCUGGUAUUAAGUUAUCGGGCGUAUGAUCCAGGUCUUUUACUGUGAAAAAAUUAGAGUGUUUAAAGCAGGCCUUCGCCUUGAAUACAUUAGCAUGGAAUAAUAAGAUAGGACUUUGGUCUAUUUUGUUGGUUUGCAGACCGAAGUAAUGAUUAAUAGGGAUAGUUGGGGGUAUUUAUAUUCCGAUGUCAGAGGUGAAAUUCUUAGAUUUUCGGAAGAUAAACUUAUGCGAAAGCAUUUACCAAGGAUGUUUUCAUUAA
rnacentral:rRNA from 1 species